rnacentral:rRNA from 1 species
CGCUGAAACACCGGUUCUCGUUCGAUCACCGAAGUUAAGCAUCGUAGAGCCAGGUCAGUAUUUAGAUGGGGGACCGCUUGGGAACACCUGGUACUGUAAG